rnacentral:rRNA from 1 species
UUUAGAAAUUAAUUUAAAGUCGGGCCUGCCCAUUGAAUAAUUUUAAAAGGCCGCAGUAUAUUAACUGUGCAAAGGUAGCAUAAUCAUUAGUCUUUUAAUUGAAGGCUAGAAUGAAUGGCUGGACGAGAUAUAAACUGUUUUAUUUAAAUUUAUAUAAAAUUUUAUUUUUUAGUAAAAAAGCUAAAAUUUUAUUAAAAGACGAGAAGACCCUAUAGAUCUUUAUAUCAUUGCUUAUAAAAAUUAUAAAGAAUAAUAUUAUUUAUAUAAUUAAGGUAUUUUGUUGGGGAGACAAUAAGAUUUUUAUAACUCUUAUAAUUAUAUUCCAAUUAUUUUUGAUUAUUUGAUCCAAUAGUAUUGAUUAAAAAAUUAAGUUACCUUAGGGAUAACAGCGUAAUUUUUUUGGAGAGUUCAUAUCGAUAAAAAAGUUUGCGACCUCGAUGUUGGAUUAAGAUAUAUAAUUAGGUGCAGAAUUUUAGUUAUUAAGUCUGUUCGACUUUAGUUUCUUACAUGAUCU